rnacentral:rRNA from 1 species
GAUCGAAGCCCCAGUAAACGGCGGCCGUAACUAUAACGGUCCUAAGGUAGCGAAAUUCCUUGUCGGGUAAGUUCCGACCUGCACGAAUGGCGUAACGAUGGCCACACUGUCUCCUCCUGAGACUCAGCGAAGUUGAAGUAGUUUGUGAUGAUGCAAUCUCCCCGCGGCUAGACGGAAAGACCCCAUGAACCUUUACUGUAGCUUUACAUUGGAUCGUGAACCGGCCUGUGUAGGAUAGGUGGGAGGCGAAGAAGGUGGGACGCUAGUUCUACUGGAGCCGACUUGAAAUACCACCCUGGUUUGUUUGUGGUUCUAACCUUGGCCCAUGAUCUGGGUUGGGGACAGUGUAUGGUGGGCAGUUGACUGGGCGGUCUCCUCCCAAAGUGUAACGGAGGAGUUCGAAGGUACGCUAGGUACGGUCGGAAAUCGUGCUGAUAGUGCAUUGGCAAAAGCGUGCUUGACUGUGAGACAGACAAGUCGAACAGGUGCGAAAGCAGGACAAAGUGAUCCGGUGGUUCUGAAUGGAAGGGCCAUCGCUCAACGGAUAAAAGGUACUCUGGGGAUAACAGGCUGAUACCGCCCAAGAGUUCAUAUCGACGGCGGUGUUUGGCACCUCGAUGUCGGCUCAUCUCAUCCUGGGGCUGUAGCCGGUCCCAAGGGUAUGGCUGUUCGCCAUUUAAAGAGGUACGUGAGCUGGGUUUAAAACGUCGUGAGACAGUUUGGUCCCUAUCUGCCGUGGGCGUUGGAUACUUGACGGAGGCUGCUCCUAGUACGAGAGGACCGGAGUGGACGUACCGCUGGUGUAUCGGUUGUCAUGCCAAUGGCAUUGCCGAGUAGCUACGUACGGAAGAGAUAACCGCUGAAGGCAUCUAAGCGGGAAACUCGUCUGAAGAUAAGGUAUCCCUGAGCGUUAAGCUCCAAUAAGGGUCGUUCGAGACUAGAACGUUGAUAGGCUGGGUGUAUAAGUGCAGUAAUGCAUGUAGCUAACCAGUACUAAUUGCCCGUGAGGCUUGAUCCUAUAACUUUAUCAGUGUUAUA